rnacentral:rRNA from 1 species
AGAGUUUGAUCAUGGCUCAGGACGAACGCUGGCGGCGUGCUUAACACAUGCAAGUCGAACGAGGAACAGGGUGCUUGCACCUUGUAGCCGAGUGGCGGACGGGUGAGUAACGCGUGAUCAACCUGUCUUUGGGAGGGGGACAACCUGGGAAAACCCGGGCUAAUACCGCAUAUCGUCCUAGGGUCGCAUGGCCCAUGGAUAAAAGGGGGCCUCUGCUUGCAAGCUCCCACCCGAAGAGGGGAUCGCGACGUAUCAGCUAGUUGGUGAGGUAAUGGCUCACCAAGGCUACGACGCGUAGCGGGUCUAAGAGGACGACCCGUCACAUUGGGACUGAGAUACGGCCCAGACUCCUACGGGAGGCAGCAGUGGGGAAUAUUGCGCAAUGGCCGAAAGGCUGACGCAGCGACGCCGCGUGUGGGACGAAGCCCUUCGGGGUGUAAACCACUGUCAGGGGGAAAGAAUCCUGGAGGUGUGAAUAAUACCUUCAGUUGACGGUACCCCCAGAGGAAGCGCCGGCUAACUCCGUGCCAGCAGCCGCGGUAAGACGGGGGGCGCAAGCGUUGUUCGGAAUUACUGGGCGUAAAGGGCGGGCAGGCGGUCUGCUCAGUCUUCUGUGAAAAUCCGGGGCUCAACCCCGCGAAAUGCAGAAGAUACUGGCAGACUAGAGACCGGUAGAGGCUAGCGGAAUUCCUGGUGUAGCGGUGGAAUGCGUAGAUAUCAGGAAGAACACCUGUGGCGAAG